CAGAACAAUGAUGAGAUCUGGUGGCAUCUGAAUUUUUCUUGAUGGCAUCCAUGUCAAGAGAAAUCUGAAGUCAGG
rnacentral:snoRNA from 7 species